rnacentral:rRNA from 1 species
GUGGGGAAUAUUCCGCAAUGGACGAAAGUCUGACGGAGCAACGCCGCGUGAGUGAUGAAGGUUUUCGGACUGUAAAGCUCUGUUGUUUAGGACGAAAGUGCCUGUUGCAAACAGUUACAGGUAUUGACGGUACUAAACGAGGAAGCCACGGCUAACUACGUGCCAGCAGCCGCGGUAAUACGUAGGUGGCAAGCGUUGUCCGGAAUUAUUGGGCGUAAAGAGCAUGUAGGCGGGAAUCUAAGUCUGUUGUGAAAAUGCGGGGCUCAACCCCGUAUUGCGAUGGAAACUGGGUGUCUUGAGUGCAGGAGAGGAAAGGGGAAUUCCCAGUGUAGCGGUGAAAUGCGUAGAUAUUGGGAGGAACACCAGUGGCGAAGGCGGCUUUCUGGACGGUGUCUGACACUGAGGCGCGAAAGCUAGGGGAGCGAACGGGAUUAGAUACCCGGGUAGUCC